rnacentral:misc_RNA from 1 species
GAAAGCUACGUGGUCAUGGUAGAUGGUUGUGCACCAAUGAUCAUAACUUUUCUGUAGUACCUCCUACACUUGAGCGGGUGUCCCACAUAUAGAAGUGUUAAGUGGACACACUACCCGCUGGAGGUAGUCAGAGUGGAAGCAAGUAUAAAGUUGGUCCUACUCUGAUAAAAUCCACGUCCCGUUUCCAACCCUUCUUGGUCCGGUUGUUAAAUAAGGAUACCAAGCCAUCUGUUUUCCCAAGACAGUAUAAUUGUUUGGGAGGUAGUUAUUGACUUCAUUCAAGUCUGCUUGAGAAGGUGAGGGAUGCCUCACGCAUUCUCUUGGCUAGAUGUGUUGCAUCAGCCAAGUCACAAGACUCAAACCUUGGUGCGUGCCCCUUCUGUCUCUCCCAGAUGGACGACGUAGAGAACGGUCUAUGAAUGACGUCGACACCAGGAAGCUGCCUCUAUUGGGCAACACAGUUCACAUGAUAACCGUUGGUAUGCGGUGUGUUGUUUCUCUAAGUAGAGGAGGUGUAAUGCCUGGCCCUUUGUGAACAAGGGGGUUUGGGAUGGGGAGUCGCUUAGAUUUCCUCUGCCCGGACCAAUUAAGAGCUUAAAAGCAAUUAAUUGCUACCC